rnacentral:rRNA from 1 species
ACAUAUGAAUAUAGGGUGUGUAGAACAGGGGUUCCCGUCCGCUCAGCCGUACUUAAGCCACACGCCGGUGAGUUAGUAGUUGGGUGGGUGACCACCAGCGAAUCCUCACUGUUGUAUGUUU